rnacentral:rRNA from 1 species
UACGUAGGGGGCGAGCGUUGUCCGGAAUCAUUGGGCGUAAAGCGCGUGUAGGCGGCUCGGUAAGUCCGGUGUGAAACCUUGGGGCUCAACCCCAAGCCUGCACUGGAUACUGUCGAGCUUGAGUCCGGGAGGGGAGAGCGGAAUUCCUAGUGUAGCGGUGAAAUGCGCAGAUAUUAGGAGGAACACCCGUGGCGAAAGCGGCUCUCUGGGACGGUACUGACGCUGAGACGCGAAAGCGUGGGGAGCAGACAGG